ACAUGAGAGCAGUCUGGCUGAGACAUGUGUCUCCUCACUGCCUGCCAAGGUUGAUUUGGCUGAUCCAGCUGGAUAGGCAGAUGUCCCUCUCCUUACCACUCCACUCGCGUGUCCUCUCAAAGCUUCCCCCAUUCUUUGGUCAGAGUUACUGUAGCUGUGCUCCCCUGCUAGGGCCUCCAGUCACUCUCUCCUGGGCCUGCCUUAUUCUGACAUGUCAUGGAGCAUCAUAGCUUAGAUAUUCAGGGGACCCUGUUGUUCUUGGCACCAUGCUCUCCCU
ensembl:misc_RNA 7SK 7SK RNA